UACGGGGGGUGCGAGCGUUGUCCGGAAUCACUGGGCGUAAAGGGCGCGUAGGUGGCGUGAUAAGGGUGUGGUGAAAGCCCGGGGCUCAACCCCGGAACGGCAUCCGAGACGGCCAGGCUGGAGACCGGGAGAGGAGAGUGGAAUAGCCAGUGUAGAGGUGAAAUUCGUAGAUAUUGGCUGGAACACCGGUGGCGAAAGCGGCUCUCUGGCCCGGUUCUGACGCUGAGGCGCGAAAGCGUGGGGAGCAAACAGG
rnacentral:rRNA from 1 species